rnacentral:tRNA from 1 species
GGAGGUGUCUGGGCACCUGGUGGUCCCCCCGGCCUUCAAAGCCGGUGAGGCCGAGCAUCUCGGCCUGGCGGGUUCGAUUCCCGUCCACCUCCGCCA